rnacentral:rRNA from 1 species
CCUACGGGGGGCAGUAGUGGGGAAUAUUGCACAAUGGGGGAAACCCUGAUGCAGCGACGCCGCGUGAGUGAAGAAGUAUUUCGGUACGUAAAGCUCUAUCAGCAGGGAAGAAAAUGACGGUACCUGACUAAGAAGCCCCGGCUAACUACGUGCCAGCAGCCGCGGUAAUACGUAGGGGGCAAGCGUUAUCCGGAUUUACUGGGUGUAAAGGGAGCGUAGACGGCAGCGCAAGUCUGGAGUGAAAUCCCAUGGCUUAACCAUGGAACUGCUUUGGAAACUGUGCAGCUAGAGUGCAGGAGAGGUAAGCGGAAUUCCUAGUGUAGCGGUGAAAUGCGUAGAUAUUAGGAGGAACACCAGUGGCGAAGGCGGCUUACUGGACUGUAACUGACGUUGAGGCUCGAAAGCGUGGGGAGCAAACAGGAUUAGAUACCCGGGUAGUC